CUUUGUAAUUUGACGCCUUGAAAUUGUAUCCGUCUCUUUAAGAACUCCAGUUCUUCCUGAAACUCUGCCUUCAGGAUGUCAUCACAAUUUCUUUUCAAAAAGAAUCCUGCCUUGUUUUUGUGCAUUACAGACAAUAAUCACGUCUUUUUCCACGACUGAAAACUCCUUUUGCUCAUCUAAAAAAUGAUUCCGUUAUUUCCAUCGAACACAAUCCAAUUUUUGUUUUAAUCUAAGGGGCAAUAUCACACAUUUUCACAACAUGGCUCCUCUGCUAAAUAUUGUUUCAUGUCACAAUUACGCACAACAAUGUGCAAGUUUGCCAUAUAAAAGCCCAUUAAAAACAAUUUCUACUUGUAAAGGGACAAAAA